rnacentral:rRNA from 1 species
GACGAACGCUGGCGGCGUGCCUAAUACAUGCAAGUAGAACGCUGAAGAGAGGAGCUUGCUCUUCUUGGAUGAGUUGCGAACGGGUGAGUAACGCGUAGGUAACCUGCCUUGUAGCGGGGGAUAACUAUUGGAAACGAUAGCUAAUACCGCAUAACAAUGGAUGACACAUGUCAUUUAUUUGAAAGGGGCAAUUGCUCCACUACAAGAUGGACCUGCGUUGUCUUAGCUAGUAGGUGAGGUAAUGGCUCACCUAGGCGACGAUACAUAGCCGACCUGAGUGGGUGAUCGGGCACACUGGGACUGAGACAAGGCCCAGAAUCCUACGGAAGGCAGCAGUAGGGAAACUUCGGCAAUGGGGGCAACACUGACCGAGCAAAGCCGCGUGAGUGAAGAAGGGUUUCGGAUCGUAAAGCUCUGUUGUAAGUCAAGAACGGGUGUGAAAGUGGAAAGUUCACACUGUGACGGUAGCUUACCAGAAAGGGACGGCUAACUACGUG